GUGGGGAAUAUUGGGCAAUGGGCGCAAGCCUGACCCAGCAACGCCGCGUGAAGGAAGAAGGCUUUCGGGUUGUAAACUUCUUUUGUCAGGGACGAAAAAAAUGACGGUACCUGACGAAUAAGCCACGGCUAACUACGUGCCAGCAGCCGCGGUAAUACGUAGGUGGCAAGCGUUAUCCGGAUUUACUGGGUGUAAAGGGCGUGUAGGCGGGAAAGCAAGUCAGAUGUGAAAACUAUGGGCUCAACCCAUAGCCUGCAUUUGAAACUGUUUUUCUGGAGUACUGGAGAGGCAGAUGGAAUUCCUAGUGUAGCGGUGAAAUGCGUAGAUAUUAGGAGGAACACCAGUGGCGAAGGCGAUCUGCUGGACAGCAACUGACGCUGAGGCGCGAAAGCGUGGGGAGCAAACAGGAUUAGAUACCCUUGUAGUCC
rnacentral:rRNA from 1 species